GGCAAUAUGUAUUGCCUGACCAAACAUAGCCCUUAAACCAACCACCACUUGGAUAUUGAAAGAAUGAGGAUGUAUCACAUGUACUUCCGCCAAAGAUAUCAACCAAUGAGGUUAUACACAUAUCCUCAGUGAUUGAUAUAAUCUUGCAUCCAGUUCAUGUUAAGUUAUGGGCAUAGAAAACUCUAUAGUCCAUACAGCAUAUUUGCAGGCCAAUCUCAAAUUACACCACUAGCAAGGC
rnacentral:lncRNA from 1 species